UACGGGGGGGGCAAGCGUUGUUCGGAAUUACUGGGCGUAAAGGGCUCGUAGGCGGCCAACUAAGUCGGAUGUGAAAUCCCCAGGCUUAACCUGGGAACUGCAUCCGAUACUGGAUGGCUUGAAUCCGGGAGAGGGAUGCAGAAUUCCAGGUGUAGCGGUGAAAUGCGUAGAUAUCUGGAGGAAUACCGGUGGCGAAGGCGGCAUCCUGGACCGGCAUUGACGCUGAGGCAUGAAAGCGUGGGGAGCAAACAGG
rnacentral:rRNA from 1 species